GAGAUCGAGAACCUCACCCAGCAGUACGAGGAGAAGGCGGCCGCUUAUGAUAAACUGGAAAAGACCAAGAACAGGCUUCAGCAGGAGCUGGACGACCUGGUUGUUGAUUUGGACAACCAGCGGCAACUCGUGUCCAACCUGGAAAAGAAGCAGAGGAAAUUUGAUCAGUUGUUAGCCGAGGAGAAAAACAUCUCUUCCAAAUACGCGGAUGAGAGGGACAGAGCUGAGGCAGAAGCCAGGGAGAAGGAAACCAAGGCCCUGUCCCUGGCUCGGGCCCUUGAAGAGGCCUUGGAAGCCAAAGAGGAACUCGAGCGGACCAACAAAAUGCUCAAAGCCGAAAUGGAAGACCUGGUCAGCUCCAAGGAUGACGUGGGCAAGAACGUAAGUGGCUCUGGGUGGUUUUUCUCGUCCAUGUUUCGCCUGCCCACCCUCUGUGCUAUUCACCAGUCCAUGCGAGGCUAGCUCCUGGCCUUUUUCAUAGCGAACUAUCAUCGGAAAUGGAAGGAGGUUUUUGGACUGGUGCAGGGGCUGGGAGGGGCUGAGAAUGGCAGUCGAGGAUGGGUCUGAGUUGGGGGGUCCGAGGAUAAGGCUGGGGUCUGAACUCUCAGGGGUCAUCUUGAGUCCCGGCCAUGCAUCCUGUGGGAGGCCAAAGCCACCUCCCUGAUCUCCUGAGGUGCCGCUCACGGUGGGUUUCUCAAUCGUCUUCAUGAAGUUGAGCCUCAUAGAAUGGGGCUGCCCGCUCUGCCGGCAGGUCCAUGAGCUGGAGAAGUCCAAGCGGGCCCUGGAGACCCAGAUGGAGGAGAUGAAGACGCAGCUGGAAGAGCUGGAGGACGAGCUGCAAGCCACGGAGGACGCCAAACUGCGGCUGGAAGUCAACAUGCAGGCGCUCAAGGGCCAGUUCGAAAGGGAUCUCCAAGCCCGGGACGAGCAGAAUGAGGAGAAGAGGAGGCAACUGCAGAGACAGCUUCACGAGUAUGAGACGGAACUGGAAGACGAGCGAAAGCAACGUGCCCUGGCAGCUGCAGCAAAGAAGAAGCUGGAAGGGGACCUGAAAGACCUGGAGCUUCAGGCCGACUCUGCCAUCAAGGGGAGGGAGGAAGCCAUCAAGCAGCUACGCAAACUGCAGGCUCAGAUGAAGGACUUUCAAAGAGAGCUGGAAGAUGCCCGUGCCUCCAGAGAUGAGAUCUUUGCCACAGCCAAAGAGAAUGAGAAGAAAGCCAAGAGCUUGGAAGCAGACCUCAUGCAGCUACAAGAGGACCUCGCCGCCGCUGAGAGGGCUCGCAAACAAGCGGACCUCGAGAAGGAGGAACUGGCAGAGGAGCUGGCCAGUAGCCUGUCGGGAAGGUAGGAAACUGAAUGGAGGAAGAGGGCUCUGAAGCAGAGGAUGGGGGGACAGGCAGCAUCCUCGACCCCCAUUUUAUUUUUUAAAUUUUUUCGAGACAGAGUUUCAUUCUGUCACCCAGGCUGGAGGGCAGUGGCACAAUCUUGGCUCACUGCAACCUCCACCUCCCAGGUUCAAGCAAUUCUCCUGCCUCAGCCUUCUGAGUAGCUGAGACUACAGGUGUGUACCACCAUGCCUGGCUAAUUUUUAUAUUUUUAGUAGAGGUGGGGUUUCACCAUGUUGGCCAGGCUAGUCUUGAACUCCUGACCUUAGGUGAUCCUCCUACCUUGGCCUCCCAAAGUGCUGUGAUUACAGGUGUGAGCCACCGUGCCUGGCCCUGGACCCCCAUUUCAAUGCUGCUGCUGACGAAGCGUCCUCUGAGAUUGGGGACAGACCCAUGGUGGUUAGGUUUUCCGUCAGCGCUUUCAUGCCUGUUUGGGGGUGUGGCUGCUUUCAUUCAUUCCCAAUAAGUAGCUGUGUGGGGAGAAGGGGAGGCCAGGAAGAGUCAGGGAGGAGUGUGCUGGUCCCCAUCCCAAUCCCAGCUUUGCUGACACGGACCCGGCCUGAGUCCCGGCUGUCCACUUCCUGGCUGUGUAACUACAGAUGAGUCUUCUAAUCUUCUCCAAGCCUCAGUUUCACCCAUUAGAUGAUGAGGGCAAUACCCCUGAGGCAUGACUCCAAGGAGGGGGCAUCUUUUAAGGCGGGGGAGGGUAGAGGCCCCCACCAUGGCCGCCCUUCCCCCAGGAACGCACUCCAGGACGAGAAGCGCCGCCUGGAGGCCCGGAUCGCCCAGCUGGAGGAGGAGCUGGAGGAGGAGCAGGGCAACAUGGAGGCCAUGAGCGACCGGGUCCGCAAAGCCACACAGCAGGUGAGGGCCGCCUGGACACCACAGUCACGCUGCCUACUGUCUCUCCUGCAGCAGGAUCCUGCACCAGUCAACACACGCGUGGCGGCUUCCUGUGUGCAGGCCCUGGAUUGAGGGACAAGAGGGUGGUGGGGCCUGAGAGUAGAGAUCCAGGGCCCUUACACCAGUGCCCAGGCUGCUGUCUUCAGAAUACUCCUCUCCACGCUGCAGUGUCUCAUUUUCCAGCCACGGCGUGGCUGGCUCCCCGUACCUCACGGCCAUCCCUGGAGUCCGGGCCUUGGGAUGCUCUUUCAUUGCGUUUUCCCCUAGCUGAAGCUCUGACCUUAUCCAGUGAGCCCUUGGUGAUGUCACUGAGCACUAGUUCCAUGGUGGGCACUAGGGACCAUCCAGUAACCUGCAGCCCCUUGUGGUGUAGGGUGAACAGGCAUCAUUCUCCAGGCGACUCCAGGACAGAGAAAGCAAGGGACAAGUCACUCGCUCAGCCUGGGUGGCACUGACACUUGUGGAAGCACCUCUUUUUUUUGGAGACAGGGUCUCUCUGUGGCCCAGGCUGGAGUGCAGUGGCGCAAUCUUGGCUCACUGCAACCUCUGCCUCCCAAGUUCAAGGGAUUCUCCUGCUUCAACCUCCCAAGUAGCUGGGACUACAGGCACGUGCCACCACUGCCCGGCUAAUUUUUGUAUUUUUAAUAGAGACGGGGUUUCACCAUGUUGGCCAGGCAGGUCUCGAACUCCUGAGCUCAAGUGAUUUACCUGCCUCUGCUUCCAAAAGUGCUGGGAUUACAGGCGUGCGCCACCACGCCCGGCCUGGAAGAAGCUCUUGAGUGGAGUUUUACAGGAUGAAGGAGAGGACAGGGUGCCCGGGAUCAAGGGACUCGUGCAGAGGCCAAACAAGGCAGGAAGAGGCAUGGUCUCAGUGCGCUCUCUUGGGCUUCCCUGAGUCCGCCUCAUGGCCUUCACUCUCCUCCCCAGGCCGAGCAGCUCAGCAACGAGCUGGCCACAGAGCGCAGCACGGCCCAGAAGAAUGAGAGUGCCCGGCAGCAGCUCGAGCGGCAGAACAAGGAGCUCCGGAGCAAGCUCCACGAGAUGGAGGGGGCCGUCAAGUCCAAGUUCAAGUCCACCAUCGCGGCGCUGGAGGCCAAGAUUGCACAGCUGGAGGAGCAGGUCGAGCAGGAGGCCAGAGAGAAACAGGCGGCCACCAAGUCGCUGAAGCAGAAAGACAAGAAGCUGAAGGAAAUCUUGCUGCAGGUGGAGGACGAGCGCAAGAUGGCCGAGCAGUACAAGGAGCAGGCAGAGAAAGGCAAUGCCAGGGUCAAGCAGCUCAAGAGGCAGCUGGAGGAGGCAGAGGAGGAGUCCCAGCGCAUCAACGCCAACCGCAGGAAGCUGCAGCGGGAGCUGGAUGAGGCCACGGAGAGCAACGAGGCCAUGGGCCGCGAGGUGAACGCACUCAAGAGCAAGCUCAGGUGAGGAGCCCGUGGCCCGGGAGGACCCCGUCUCUCAGGCCAGAGAAAAGCACUGGGGGCUCGGGCUCCUUUCGGCCUGCAAAUGCCCCUUGUGCCCACAGCCGCCACUCCCUUCUGUGGUUUAUUCCUGCUUCUCCUUAAUCACUAAGCUUAGUGUGGGCCAGGCACUGAGAUCAGACCCGGGCCCUGCCUUGCCUGGUAGCAGCUAACCUUCUAGAUCCUUUAACGAUCGACCGUCUCCCAUCCGGUCCUCCGGCUGAGGAGGAGGAAGAGGCUAUCCCCACUGUCUCCUCCAGCCCCUCCUUCAUUGCAUCACUGAGUCUUCACGACAUCCAUUGAAGCUGCAACACCACCCCCCGCCACUUCACCUCCUUCCUGACAUGCUCUGCUCCUCCUUUCUCCCCCUCAGCACUGCUGCCAUCUGGGCUGCAUUAUUCUCGGGUAUGGGGGCUGUCCGACAUUCCCCAUCAGAAGGAAAAAGAUCCCUGAAAAGUAGCAGGUGCUUACAUUUCUGGCCUCUACCCACCGGCUGCAGUAGUCCCCCACCACCCUGCAAUGUGACAACCAAAAAUGUCUCUAGAUGUUGCCAGAAGUCCUCUAGAGAUGGGAGGGUACGACUGCCACCCCGCUGAGAAUUCCUGCUGUCACUGGAGUGGGGGCUGUUUUCUCUCCCAUGCCUCUGGUACCUUGGGGGUCCCCCCUGCUCCCAAGGGCUGCUUCCACCACCCUGUCCAUCCAUCCCGAUUGGCUCCCAGGAGGUUUUAGCUCCGGGCUUCCUGUCUCCCACACCACUCCUCACAGUUCUCCAUGAUUUCAACAUCCAGGUGGGCGACGCAGCCUCUCGGUUCCUUGACCCUCUGGGUGAUCCUGCUGCUUCUACCGGGCCAACCAGUACUCCUAGGAGCCCUCACAAUUUGACCCUCAGGCAUCCCAUUGUCUGCCUGGUGCCACCUUUCUUUGGCUCUGUCCCCAACGGGGUCUUCACUCCAUUAAUGCCAUCAGCCUCUGACCCAGCUCCAAACCAGCUGUCUAGUAACCCCCGUCGCGCAUCCUCAACAUCCGGUUCCCCCUCUUGCAUUGCUGCAAUCAUUUGGUGAAAGCACAACCCAAAUGAAACUCAAGCUUGGCUGGGCACGGGACUCACACCUAUAAUCCCAGCACUUUGGGAGGCCAAGGCAGGUGAAUCGCUUUGAGCUCAGGAGUUCAAGAGCAGCAAGACCCCAUCUCUACAACAAACAAACAAAAAUCAGCCAGGUGGGAUGGCGCAAACCUAAAAUCCCAGCUACUCAGGAGGCUGAGGUGGGACGAUCAGUGGAGCCCCAGAGGUCAAGGCUGCAGUGAGCCAUGAUCUAGCCAAUGCACUUACCCUGGAUGGACAGAGUGAGACCCUGUCUCAAAAAACCCAAAACCCACUCUCCACCUUUUCCCACAGAGCAGGCCUUGCUCAGGGGUCCUCCCACACCCCUCCCUCAUCUUCUCACUCUCUGCUGCUUUUCACUUUUUCUUUGAACUUAUGAUCGCUCCUCCCCAUUCUCUCUCAGCUGGGGACCUUACUUCCUACUUAACUCAAAAGCAGAAAUGAUCAUGAAACGUGCACAAGCUCCCACUGCCUCAUCAUCCUACCUCCGUGCACCUCUGUACACUUCUAUUUUUUUUCCAUUUCUAUGCUGAACCCUCUGGCACCAACCGAGGCCAACACCUCCAUUGGACCCGACCCUCUUGUUCACUCAAGCACAUAGCUCCAAAAAUCCUUAUUUUGCAAGGUUUUCUCUUUCAUUUGCUCCAUCAGCAAAUGGAAUAACCUCUUAGCCCCAUGUCUACCUUGCUACCCUUACUACAAAACUGGAUGUGAAUGCCGAAACCCUGUCUCUACCAAAAAAUAUAAAAAUUAGCCAGGUGUGGUGGUGCAUGCCUAUAGUUCCAGCUACUCAGGAGGCUGAGGCACAAGAAUGGCUUAAAACCGGGAGAGAGAGGUUGCAGUCCAGCCUGGGUGACAGAGUGAGACUCGGUCUCAAAAAA
rnacentral:lncRNA from 1 species